AAGUCGUAACAAGCUUUCCGUAGGUGAACCUGCGGAAGGAUCAUUAUUGAUUGGUCGAAAGACCUUAUCAGAUUCUACCACCUCUGUGAACUGUUGGACCUCUGGGUCUACAAUCAAACAUCAGUGUAACGAACGUAAGAGGGUAUCUUAACGAAACAAAACUUUCAACAACGGAUCUCUUGGCUCUCGCAUCGAUGAAGAACGCAGCGAAAUGCGAUAAGUAAUGUGAAUUGCAGAAUUCAGUGAAUCAUCGAAUCUUUGAACGCACCUUGCGCCUUUUGGUAUUCCGAAAGGCAUGCCUGUUUGAGUGUCAUGAAAUCUCAACCCUUCUAGGUUUUUGACCUGGUUGGGCUUGGACAUGGGUGUCUGCCAGCAAUGGCUCACCUCAAAUGACUUAGUGGAACAUCCCGCAUCAGUGUUAGACGUAAUAAGUUUCGUCUCUCCUUGUGGUGAUGACCGCUCAUAACCUGCCAUUGCGCACUUUUGACUUUGACCUCAAAUCAGGUAGGGCUACCCGCUGAACUUAA
rnacentral:rRNA from 1 species